rnacentral:rRNA from 1 species
UUGACCUCAAAUCAGGUAGGACUACCCGCUGAACUUAAGCAUAUCAAUAAGCGGAGGAAAAGAAACUAACAAGGAUUCCCCUAGUAACUGCGAGUGAAGCGGGAAGAGCUCAAAUUUGAAAUCUGGCGGUUCUUGACCGUCCGAGUUGUAAUCUAGAGAAGUGCUACCUGUGCUGGACCGUGUACAAGUCUCCUGGAAUGGAGCAUCACAGAGGGUGAGAAUCCCGUCUUUGACACGGACUGCCUGUACGUUGUGGUGCGCUCUCGAAGAGUCGAGUUGUUUGGGAAUGCAGCUCAAAAUGGGUGGUAAAUGCCAUCUAAAGCUAAWAUUGGCGAGAGACCGAUAGCGAACCAGUACCGUGAGGGAA